GCGGGGUUGGUCUAGUGGUAUGAUUCUCGCUUUGGGUAUUUUCCUUGUGAGAGGUCCUGGGUUCAAUCCCCAGACUCCGCC